GGGCGCUUAGCUCAGAGGGAGAGCGCUUCCUUGACGCGGAAGAGGUCGGAGGUUCAAGUCCUCCAGCGCCCACCA
rnacentral:tRNA from 3 species